UGCAAGUCGAACGAUGACCACUUCGGUGGGGAUUAGUGGCGAACGGGUGAGUAACACGUGGGCAAUCUGCCCUUCACUCUGGGACAAGCCCUGGAAACGGGGUCUAAUACCGGAUAACACUUCCACAGGCAUGUGUGGGGGUUGAAAGCUCCGGCGGUGAAGGAUGAGCCCGCGGCCUAUCAGCUUGUUGGUGAGGUAGUGGCUCACCAAGGCGACGACGGGUAGCCGGCCUGAGAGGGCGACCGGCCACACUGGGACUGAGACACGGCCCAGACUCCUACGGGAGGCAGCAGUGGGGAAUAUUGCACAAUGGGCGAAAGCCUGAUGCAGCGACGCCGCGUGAGGGAUGACGGCCUUCGGGUUGUAAACCUCUUUCAGCAGGGAAGAAGCGAAAGUGACGGUACCUGCAGAAGAAGCGCCGGCUAACUACGUGCCAGCAGCCGCGGUAAUACGUAGGGCGCAAGCGUUGUCCGGAAUUAUUGGGCGUAAAGAGCUCGUAGGCGGCCUGUCGCGUCGGAUGUGAAAGCCCGGGGCUUAACCCCGGGUCUGCAUUCAAUACGGGCAGACUAGAGUGUGGUA
rnacentral:rRNA from 1 species